UACGUAGGGGGCAAGCGUUGUCCGGAUUCAUUGGGCGUAAAGAGCGUGUAGGCGGCCAGGUAGGUCGGUUGUGAAAACUGGAGGCUCAACCUUCAGAGGUCGACCGAAACCAUCUGGCUAGAGUCCGGGAGAGGAGAGUGGAAUUCCUGGUGUAGCGGUGGAAUGCGCAGAUAUCAGGAGGAACACCAACGGCGAAGGCAGCUCGCUGGGACGGUACUGACGCUAAGGCGCGAAAGCGUGGGGAGCGAACAGG
rnacentral:rRNA from 1 species